rnacentral:lncRNA from 1 species
UCCUUCGGUACGUGGAUGAUUUACUUCUAGCCACCCAUUCAGAAACCUUGUGCCAUCAAGCCACUCAAGCGCUUUUAAACUUCCUCACCACUUGUGGCUACCAGGGUAAAAAGUCUGUCUGUCAUGUUCCCACUGUAUCCCCAACAACUGGCUCAUUCAAUUUGAGCGCAAGUUACAGCAGACUUGGUAAAUACCUUGUAUUAGUCCGUUUUCACACUGGUAUAAAGAACUUUUUCAUCAUUAUCCCACAACAACCUGGGCAUUCAUUCUUGAUCUUUGUAGGAGAUGUGGGUACAGACUCUGAAGCUGAAACUGGAUCCCUUCCUUACACCUUAUACAAAAAUUAAUUCAAGAUGGAUUAAAGACUUAAAUGUUAGACCGAAAACCAUAAAAACCCUAGAAGAAAACCUAGGCAAUACCAUUCAGGACACAGGCAUGGGCAAGGACUUCACGACUAAAACACCAAAAGCAAUGGCAACAAAAGCCAAAAUUGAGAAAUGGGAUCUAAUUAA